AGGGCCAUAGCUUAGUGGUAGAGCACCUGCUUUGCAUGCAGAAGGUCUCAGGUUCGAUCCCCGAUGAACCUU
rnacentral:tRNA from 1 species